UCAUCCAUUUAACCAGCGACUUUCAAUGUGGAUAGUAUUGACUAUGACACUCCCUGCCCUUCAGAGCAAGAUCAGAUUGCAAAUGAUAUCAAAUGGCUUAUAAGCUUCUGGAAUCAACUGUGUGAUCUUCAAAACUGGCAACUUGAGAACAGAGCAGGAAGUAAGUGGUUCAGCUUUGGAUACCCUGGUAAGGAUCCCAACAGUCAAAGAGCAUGUUCCUUUGGAAGCCAUUGUCAAUGGAGGCAGGGCUGCCAUCAGCUGGCACUCAUCAGGAAGGUCCCACUGUGUCAGUCUGUCUGUUCCAACUACUUGUUUCAUCUUUUGAGUAUCACACCUACUGAUGACCUUGGCGUGAUGUCUAUUGCCCGAUGCCAGCAAGUUUCAAACACCUCCUCCUACAACUUGUAUAUCUCCCCAUGGGUAUAAGGAAUAAAGAAAGAGAAGGGAACCUUGUGAAAUGACUGGUGAUGCCCUCCCAAGGAGACUGGCAUAAACCAGAAGUGACUAAGUUUACCUUGAUUGUCGAGCUUAAGUUUUCCACUAUGAAUUUGUGAACUAAUUUAAGCUCAUUUACAGUGCAUUAAAGAGAGCUCCAUUUUGUUUUAACAUGUAAAAUUUUAACUGCUACAAAUGUGAAUCACUGCAUUUAAGCUUUCACUUCUCAUAUCUUGAUGUCAAAUGCGCCCCAAAGCCUCUAAAGCAAUCAGGCAUUUCCUAGAGGAGAUCUAAGGGGAAACAUGUUCUUCUGCAAUUUUAGAGGGCGGGAUGAUGGGCUCAUUGGGGGUGUAUUACCACAGUAGGGUCUCACUUACAAAGUGGCACGAUAGGAAUUGACCUUUCUACUUUUUAGGGAUUGGGAAAAGCUGUAAAGCAAACCCCUAUUAGAGAAGAGGCUGAAUGAUAUGUUUCUUUCACAUGAGUUGAAAUCAGGAGUACUUGAUUUCAAAUAGGAAAAGCAGCAAAUGGAAGAAGUGUAAAUGAUAGACUGGACAAAGGAAAUAUGGCACAUAUAUACCAUGGAAUACUAUGCAACCAUGAAAAAUGAUGAGUUUGUGUCCUUUGUAGGGACAUGGAUGAACCUGAAAACCAUCAUUCUCAGCAAACUGACACAAGAACAGAAAAUCAAACACUACAUGUUCUCACUCAUAGGCGGAUGUUGAACAAUGAAAACAUGUGGACACAGAGAGGGGAGCAUCACACACUGGGGUCCAUUGUGGGGCGGUUAGGGGAGGGAUAGU
rnacentral:lncRNA from 1 species